GGGCAUCUUUAGUGCCACUGCUCCCAGGGGCAGCAAGUGCCCUGCCCUGCAGCAUGAACUGCGCUGUUCCCGUUCAUGGUGGCUGUGUGGGUCCUGAUGAGCUGCGAAUGGCACCGCAUGAAGCCUUGCUUGUUCCUGGGACUCAUGCCGAUCAUUUGGUGCUUGCAGAAGCCCGGCAGCACCUCCCCUACAAGCAGCUGUGUUGUAGGUGUCUGCAGCAUACGUGGGUGCUUGCUGAGAAAAUGCUUCCCAAGCUGAGUGCCUCUGAGGGUGGAUAAAGGGGCUCCUGGCUCCCAAGCACGGGUGUCCUCAAGUGCCCAAGUCAGAAACCCGUUCCCAGUCCUGAGAGCUGAAGCAGGUUCCUGGGUGUCAAAGGCAGCAGAUCUGGUGCCUUCAGAGCAUCCAUGCUGAGUCCUCAGGCAUUUCUUCAGGUGGGAAGCAGCCAAAACCAGAGCACUGCAUCCCUUAACCAGCCUUACUCAGGUUCCCCUGGCCCACAAUAGCACAGGGCUGAGAUGCAGGAGCUGCAGGAAAGCUGGCAGCCUAGGCAGGUCCCAGGAGCAAGUCUAGAGCAGGGACCCCACACAGCCUUGGGGGGCUGUGGGCAGCUUGUGCCAGUGGUGGAGAGCUGAGGUACCUGAGAUGUGCCAGGCCAAGGGGAGUGCUGCUGGGUUCGGUAGGGCGAUGUGAGCAGGAAGGAGGAGAGCUCUCAUGUGAGAGCAAGGAGGCAGCUUGCAGCAAGACACAUUUUAAAUGACAUUGAUAUGAGAGGGAAAGAGAGAGGUGGGGGUCCAGCAUAACUUGGGCAGGGUCACAAAUAAGGCAUUGCCCAGAGGGUGAAAGCCUGAGCUGAGACAAGAAUGCAGCAGAGCCUCUCUGUGCCCCAUGCUGGAAGGGUUGCAAAAGGACAGAACCUGCCAUGGAUGAGGCUCUAAAGCAGCAACUGAAACCCAGCAGCUGCUGAUGGCUUGGAUUCAUUCUUUUAACUAAUUAAAUGUGUGCUGGGCCAGGGAGAAGAUGCCAGUUUCCCUGUAGCUUCUCUCUCUGGGAGUCUGAGGAUGACAGAAAGGUGGUGGGCUGUUUGCUCCCUCUUAAUCCCCUUUCUGAGGGUUUCCCCUCCACAGCUAGAGAUCAAGAGCUGGUCAUAAAGGAAGAUAGAAAGUUUCCCAGCUGAGAUUUGAGUUCCAGUCUCUCUCUCCUCCCAGUACUCAGUGUAUCAGAUUUUGGAAGAUUGACCAUUUCCUUGGCUAAUCAAAAUAAGGGGGAAUAGAAGAGGAGUGUAAAUUCUCAAGAACAAUUGCUUUCAGAUCAUUGCUAAAGAUACAGAACAGCAUGGAGUCCAGGGGAGGUACCUGUGGGACCCAAUUAGAAAUGGCUGCACUGAAGGCUGAUGUAUCACCAACAAUUAUGUUCUGAGAUCUAGCAGUUAACCAGUUUUUAAACCCAAGCUAAUCAUGCCAUAUUCGUUUGUUAAGUACAAAUAAAAACCAAGCCAGGUCGAAGAUACCCAGAUUAA